AUUUGCUUGUCUUUUCAGGAGAUAAUCCACAAGGCUAUCCUCUGUGGAGAGGGUCAACCAUUUUCCUGGCUUGUCAGAGUUCUUUUUUCCCACGAGUGCAUAUUAGGACAUCAAAACAAGACAUGGUCCAUGUAUAAGUUAGGGAUCUGGCAAGAAACAAUCCAUUUCUGAUGGUUCAAAGACAGAAAUGAAGGGACUCCUUAGGACAUGCCAAGUUCCAUCUUGAAAUGGGCAAAAUAUUUAUCAGGGACUGCUGGAAAGCUUAUCUUUGUAGCUGCCCAAGAAAUAAGUGCCUAGUGAACAAGUGAAGUGAGUCAAUUCUGAAUACUAUAAUCAAGCAAGAAGAAGAAACAUCAGGGAGCAGAGGAAAAAAUAAACUGUCACUCUGUGAAGAAACACUAUGACCCCACUCCUUGACUGAAUAUGAAGACAAAGCAUAAUAUGAUAUUGUUAUGCAAAUGGUGGAACAGAGCAUCUAACUAAACAUUAAGCUAAUGUAGACUGCAUAACUCAUAUAAAACCAUCUCUUUUGAAACUGAGGAAGCCCUAGUACACUGCCCGGAAAGCAGUUCCUGAAGAUCUUAUGGCAAAUGCAUGGGGAUGGAGGCAAGCCUCUCUCUUGAUAUUGAAAUCGGAUUAUACAACUGGGUUCUUAGUCCUCCUAACACCACUCCCUGACACAAAUAAUGAGAAUUACUGCUGUAGGAAUAUGACUGGGACAAGAAAGUCUUCCCUCUAUUGAUGGGCCUGCCACAGAAGAAUGAAUUUAGCUGCCCCAAUUUGGAUCUUGCAAAGUCUGCUCUUUUCAUAUGCACUACUGUUUAUCUUUGGCUGGAUUGCAGCCUUAGCACCACAGCUGGAAGGAACUUUUGAGGUCAUUUGGCAUCUUGAAGUUGUGAUCCUUCAGAACCAUAGAAAUUAUUAUGCAACUCUCAGACCAGGAGGAACAACCAGCGUGUUUCUCACAUUUCCUUCUUCAGAAAAUUUCCUAAUA